CCCUUCGUGGUAUAAAUGGUUAACACGACUUGGCUGCUAACCAGAAGAUUGGAGGUUCGAGUCCACCCAAAGGAG
rnacentral:tRNA from 1 species